rnacentral:tRNA from 1 species
ACUUAAAUAGCUUAAAUAUUAGAGCGUGUUUUUGAAAGUGUUAAGGUUAAAAACCUAUCUUUAAGUU